UACGUAGGGGGGCCAGCGUUGUCCGGAAUCAUUGGGCGUAAAGAGCGCGUAGGCGGUCCGAUAAGUCGGCUGUGAAAGUCAGGGGCUCAACCCUUGAAAGCCGGCCGAUACUGUCGGACUAGAGUCCGGAAGAGGCAAGUGGAAUUCCCGGUGUAGCGGUGAAAUGCGUAGAGAUCCGGAGGAACACCGACGGCGUAGGCAGCGCCCUGGACGACACCUGACGCUGAGGCACGAAAGCUGGGGGAGCAAAAGGG
rnacentral:rRNA from 1 species